UACGGAGGGUGCAAGCGUUAUCCGGAUUCACUGGGUUUAAAGGGUGCGUAGGUGGGUAAGUAAGUCAGUGGUGAAAUCUCCGGGCUUAACCCGGAAACUGCCAUUGAUACUAUUUGUCUUGAAUACUGUGGAGGUCAGCGGAAUAUGUCAUGUAGCGGUGAAAUGCUUAGAUAUGACAUAGAACACCAAUUGCGAAGGCAGCUGGCUACGCAUAUAUUGACACUGAGGCACGAAAGCGUGGGGAUCAAACAGG
rnacentral:rRNA from 1 species